UACGUAGGGUGCGAGCGUUGUCCGGAAUUAUUGGGCGUAAAGGGCGCGUAGGCGGGCGCAACAAGUCACUUGUGAAAUCUCCGGGCUUAACCCGGAGCGGCCAAGUGAUACUGUCGUGCUAGAGUGCGGAAGGGGCUACUGGAAUUCUCGGUGUAGCGGUGAAAUGCGUAGAUAUCGGGAAGAACACCCCGUGGCGAAGGCGGCUCUCUGGGGACGGUACUGACGCUGAGACGCGAAAGCGUGGGGAGCGAACAGG
rnacentral:rRNA from 1 species